GACUUCCAUCUCCUGCAUUUUGGCCAGAAGGCAAAGGAUUGGGUGAGAUACUAGAAGAUAAGUGUGUCAUUUCCACCGACAUAUCAUUGGCCAGAACUCAGUCAGAUGACUUCACCUUACUGCAGGGAAGUUGGAACUGUGGUCUAGCAGUGGAAAAAGAAUUGGCAUUUGAUGAACGCACUUUGCCACACCCUACUUUCUCAAGCAUGGCCCUGGCAGUCCCUCCACUUCUAGAAUGCUUAUGCUCCACGAGCUCAUCCAAUUAGAGCACCAGGCCUGGUGCUGUGAAGUCACCGCUAUCAGAAUCGGUACCUGGAGGAGAAUAGGCCAGGGUUGACUAGAUGGAACACUGUGGUCCUCUUCCAGAGAAGAAAAGUUACAGCGCUUGAAGAGAGCAUAUAAAGCCAGUGUUAGAAAUACUGAAAUGGAAUCAACAGUGUUCGUGCCUGAGUGUAGAUUUUGUGGUC